rnacentral:rRNA from 1 species
UACAGAGGCCCCAAGCGUUACUGAGAAUCACUGGGUUUAAAGGGUGCGUAGGUGGCGCGUUAAGUCCGUUGUGAAAUCCCUGGGCUCAACCCAGGAAAUGCUUCGGAUACUGGCGUGCUUGAGGCUAGUAGGGGUCACUGGAACUGACGGUGGAGCGGUGAAAUGCGUAGAUAUCGUCAGGAACGCCAAUGGUGAAGACAGGUGACUGGGCUAGUUCUGACACUGAGGCACGAAAGCGUGGGGAGCGAACGGG